rnacentral:rRNA from 1 species
UACGUAUGGUGCAAGCGUUAUCCGGAUUUACUGGGUGUAAAGGGAGCGCAGGCGGCACGGCAAGCCUGAUGUGAAAGCCCGCGGCCCAACCGCGGGACUGCAUUGGGAACUACCGGGCUGGAGUGCCGGAGAGGUAGGCGGAAUUCCUAGUGUAGCGGUGAGAUGCGUAGAUAUUAGGAGGAACACCAGUAGCGAAGGCGGCCUACUGGACGGUGACUGACGCUGAGGCUCGAAAGCGUGGGGAGCAAACAGG